ACGUCAACAGAUGCCGAACGGACAGCACCUCCCCUGUCCGCCCAAGGCUCCAACAAUACAUGUAUAACAAUAGCAAUUCAAACAUAAUGAAUGCAAGUAUACACGGCUUACACGAGGGCAAGCAACAACCAAACAUAAGUGAGAGCAAUCUAACUAUUACAUUUAUACAUUGUAUAUUGAUCACUUUCAAUCAAAUACAAAGCUUAUACAAUUUCUUUACAUUCAUUCAUCUCAAUUUACAAUUUCAUCUCUCAAAGGAUCUUAAUACAUUUUCACCUUUCACAUAAUUUUAUUACAUUUCCAUUUUACAUUUUACAUCAUCGACAUAAUAGAUGAAACAUAUAC
rnacentral:lncRNA from 1 species